UACGGAGGAUCCGAGCGUUAUCCGGAUUUAUUGGGUUUGAAGGGUGCGCAGGCGGGAGAUUAAGUCGGCGGUGAAAUUUUGCAGCUCAACUGUAAAAGUGCCUUCGAAACUGGUUUCCUUGAGUGUAGAUGAAGUAGGCGGAAUUUGUGGUGUAGCGGUGAAAUGCAUAGAUAUCACGAGGAACUCCGAUUGCGCAGGCAGCUUACUAAACUACUACUGACGCUCAGGCACGAAGGCGUGGGGAUCAAACAGGAUUAGAUACCCGCGUA
rnacentral:rRNA from 1 species